AUUACCUUAGAACUGAAAACAGUUUCCGGAGCAUAACUUAAGUUCUAUUUGGCCCACAGUGUUCAAACUUCAUAGGAUGAUUGUCCAUAUUGGGUAGAAGACCCCUAUUGAUUUUGGGAUCACAAGGUCAAAGGUCAAGGUCACUUUUACCUUAGAAUUGAAAACAGUUUCUGGGACAUAACUUAAAGUUCCAUUUGGACCACAAUAUUGAAACUUCAAAGGAGGAUUGUUAUUUGAAGGAGGUAAUACUUUAUUUUAGUCCCAUGUCUUACAAAUGCU